rnacentral:rRNA from 1 species
AUUAAGCAUAUCAAUAAGCGGAGGAAAAGAAACCAACAGGGAUUGCCUCAGUAACGGCGAGUGAAGCGGCAACAGCUCAAAUUUGAAAUCUGGCUCCUUGGGGGUCCGAGUUGUAAUUUGUAGAGGAUGCUUCGGGUGCGGCACCGGUCUAAGUCCCUUGGAACAGGGCGUCAUAGAGGGUGAGGAUCCCGUAUGUGACCGGCGACCCAGCCCAUGUGAAGCUCCUUCGACGAGUCGAGUUGUUUGGGAAUGCAGCUCAAAAUGGGUGGUAAAUUUCAUCUAAAGCUAAAUACCGGCCAGAGACCGAUAGCGCACAAGUAGAGUGAUCGAAAGAUGAAAAGCACUUUGGAAAGAGAGUCAAAAAGUACGUGAAAUUGUUGAAAGGGAAGCGCUUGUAACCAGACCUGCCGUCGGGGGCUCCGCGGGCAUUCUUGCCCGUCUACUCUCCCGCGAUCAGGCCAGCAUCGGUUUUGGCGGCCGGAUAAAGACUCGAGGAAUGUAGCUUCGCUUCGGGGAAGUGUUAUAGCCUCUUGUGCAAUACGGCCAGCCGGGACCGAGGACCGCGCUUCGGCUAGGAUGCUGGCGUAAUGGUUGCAAGCGACCCGUCUUGAAACACGGACCAAGGAGUCUAACAUCUAUGCGAGUGUUUGGGUGUCAAACCCAUGCGCGGAAUGAAAGUGAACGGAGGUGGGAACCCUCAAGGGCGCACCAUCGACCGAUCCGGAAGUUUACGGAUGGAUUUGAGUAUGAGCAUAGCUGUUGGGACCCGAAAGAUGGUGAACUAUGCCUGAAUAGGGUGAAGCCAGAGGAAACUCUGGUGGAGGCUCGCAGCGGUUCUGACGUGCAAAUCGAUCGUCAAAUUUGGGUAUAGGGGCGAAGUAAGCAUCUCACCUCUCCACCGAUAUUGCGGAACAACUACUGACGCAUCCUUGACAGAGACUAAUCGAACCAUCUAGUAGCUGGUUCCUGCCGAAGUUUCGUAAGUUCUUCCCAGGACACCCCCCUACUGAACCCUAGCUAACAAGGUCAAUAGCCUCAGGAUAGCAGUAACGUUUUCAGUUUUAUGAGGUAAAGCGAAUGAUUAGAGGCCUGGGGGAUGAAACAUCCUUCACCUAUUCUCAAACUUUCAAUAUGUAAGAAGUCCUUGUUACUUAGUUGAACGUGGACAUUUGAAUGCACCGUUACUAGUGGGCCAUUUUUGGUAAGCAGAACUGGCGAUGCGGGAUGAACCGAACGUGGGGUUAAGGUGCCGGAAUGUACGCUCAUCAGACACCACAAAAGGUGUUGAUUCAUCUAGACAGCCGGACGGUGGCCAUGGAAGUCGGAAUCCGCUAAGGAGUGUGUAACAACUCACCGGCCGAAUGAAUCAGCCCUGAAAAUGGAUGGCGCUCAAGCGUGCUACCC